CGACUUCUUUUCACCUCAUUCUCCACCUUUCCUGGUCUCAGAUUUUGACUUGCAUCCUGUUUCAUCUGAUGGAUGAUUUCACCUCACUCUUCCAUUUCUGAAGCAUGUGGGAUUUUCUAAAAUUUAGGGCAAACAAUCAGUCAAAGAAAGAGAAAGCAUUCCACCAAAGGAGAAAACACCAAGGAUCCGCUUUCAGG